UCUCCUGGAAACGGGUGGUAAUGCCGGAUGCUCCGACUCCUCGCAUGGGGUGUCGGGAAAGAUUUCAUCGGUAUGGGAUGGGGUCGCGUCCUAUCAGGUAGUCGGCGGGGUAACGGCCCACCGAGCCUACGACGGGUAGCCGGCCUGAGAGGGCGACCGGCCACAUUGGGACUGAGAUACGGCCCAGACUCCUACGGGAGGCAGCAGUGGGGAAUAUUGCACAAUGGGCGCAAGCCUGAUGCAGCGACGCCGCGUGCGGGAUGACGGCCUUCGGGUUGUAAACCGCUUUUGAUCGGGAGCAAGCCUUCGGGUGAGUGUACCUUUCGAAUAAGCACCGGCUAACUACGUGCCAGCAGCCGCGGUAAUACGUAGGGUGCAAGCGUUAUCCGGAAUUAUUGGGCGUAAAGGGCUCGUAGGCGGUUCGUCGCGUCCGGUGUGAAAGUCCAUCGCUUAACGGUGGAUCUGCGCCGGGUACGGGCGGGCUGGAGUGCGGUAGGGGAGACUGGAAUUCCCGGUGUAACGGUGGAAUGUGUAGAUAUCGGGAAGAACACCAUA
rnacentral:rRNA from 1 species